CACGUAGUUAGCCGGGGCUUCUUAGUCAGGUACCGUCAUUUUCUUCCCUGCUGAUAGAGCUUUACAUACCGAAAUACUUCUUCACUCACGCGGCGUCGCUGCAUCAGGGUCCCCCCCAUUGUGCAAUAUUCCCCACUGCUGCCUCCCGUAGGAGUUUGGGCCGUGUCUCAGUCCCAAUGUGGCCGGUCACCCUCUCAGGCCGGCUACUGAUCGUCGCCUUGGUGGGCCUCUACCCCGCAACUAGCUAAUCAGACGCGGGUCCAUCGUAUACCGUUUACGCUUUUCACACUGCUCCAUGCGAAGCUGUGCGCUUAUGCGGUAUUAGCACCUAUUUCUAAGUGUUAUCCCCCUGUAUACGGCAGGUUACCCACGCGUUACUCACCCGUCCGCCACUAAAACAAAAUCACUAGUUCAUUCUGUUCCCGUUCGACUUGCAUGUGUUAGCACGCCGCCAGCGUUCAUCCUGACGCCAGGACUACAAACUCU
rnacentral:rRNA from 1 species